rnacentral:rRNA from 1 species
AGAGUUUGGUCCUGGCUCAGGAUGAACGCUGGCGGCGUGCCUAACACAUGCAAGUCGAGCGAGAAAAUAUUCGAUGAACCUUCGGGUGAUUUGAAUAAUGGAAAGCGGCGGACGGGUGAGUAACGCGUGGGCAACCUGCCUUGUACAGGGGGAUAACAACGUGAAAACGUUGCUAAUACCGCAUAAGCGCACAGUAUCGCAUGGUACAGUGUGAAAAACUCUGGUAGUACAAGAUGGGCCCGCGUCUGAUUAGCUAGUUGGUGAGGUAGAAGCUCACCAAGGCGACGAUCAGUAGCCGACCUGAGAGGGUGAUCGGCCACAUUGGGACUGAGACACGGCCCAAACUCCCACGGGAGGCAGCAGUGGGAAUAUUGCACAAUGGGGGAAACCCUGAUGCAGCAACGCCGCGUGAAGGAAGACGGUUUUCGGAUUGUAAACUUCUAUCAGCAGGGAAGAAAAUGACGGUACCUGACUAAGAAGCCCCGGCUAACUACGUGCCAGCAGCCGCGGUAAUACGUAGGGGGCAAGCGUUAUCCGGAUUUACUGGGUGUAAAGGGUGCGUAGGCGGCAAAGUAAGUCAGAUGUGAAAGCCCGUUGCUCAACAACGGGACUGCAUUUGAAACUACUUAGCUAGAGUACAGGAGAGGUAAGUGGAAUUCCUAGUGUAGCGGUGAAAUGCGUAGAUAUUAGGAAGAACACCAGUGGCGAAGGCGACUUACUGGACUGUAACUGACGCUGAGGCACGAAAGCGUGGGGAGCGAACAGGAUUAGAUACCCUGGUAGUCCACGCUGUAAACGAUGAAUACUAGGUGUCGGGGGUCAAACCUCGGUGCCGCAGCUAACGCAUUAAGUAUUCCACCUGGGGAGUACGAUCGCAAGAUUGAAACUCAAAGGAAUUGACGGGGGCCCGCACAAGCGGUGGAGCAUGUGGUUUAAUUCGACGCAACGCGAAGAACCUUACCAAAUCUUGACAUCCCAUUGACCGUUCCUUAAUCGGAGCUUUCCUUCGGGACAAUGGUGACAGGUGGUGCAUGGUUGUCGUCAGCUCGUGUCGUGAGAUGUUGGGUUAAGUCCCGCAACGAGCGCAACCCUUAUCUUUAGUAGCCAGCGUGUAAUGACGGGGACUCUAGAGAGACUGCCGGGGACAACUCGGAGGAAGGUGGGGAUGACGUCAAAUCAUCAUGCCCCUUAUGAUUUGGGCUACACACGUGCUACAAUGGUAGUGACAAAGGGAAGCAAGACAGUGAUGUUAAGCCAACCUCAAAAAAGCUAUCUCAGUUCGGAUUGUAGUCUGCAACUCGACUACAUGAAGCUGGAAUCGCUAGUAAUCGCGAAUCAGAAUGUCGCGGUGAAUACGUUCCCGGGCCUUGUACACACCGCCCGUCACACCAUGGGAGUCGGAAGCGCCCGAAGCCAGUGACCCAACUUUUAGAGGGAGCUGUCGAAGGUGAAGUCGAUGACUAGGGUGAAGUCG